rnacentral:rRNA from 1 species
GACGAACGCUGGCGGCGUGCUUAACACAUGCAAGUCGAACGGUAAGGCUCCAGCUUGCUGGGGUACACGAGUGGCGAACGGGUGAGUAACACGUGGGUGACCUGCCCUGCACUUCGGGAUAAGCCUGGGAAACUGGGUCUAAUACCGGAUAGGACCGCACCGUGAGGGUGUGGUGGAAAGUUUUUUCGGUGUGGGAUGGGCCCGCGGCCUAUCAGCUUGUUGGUGGGGUAAUGGCCUACCAAGGCGGCGACGGGUAGCCGGCCUGAGAGGGUGGACGGCCACAUUGGGACUGAGACACGGCCCAGACUCCUACGGGAGGCAGCAGUGGGGAAUAUUGCACAAUGGGCGGAAGCCUGAUGCAGCGACGCCGCGUGGGGGAUGACGGCCUUCGGGUUGUAAACUCCUUUCACCAUCGACGAAGGGUUUCUGACGGUAGAUGGAGAAGAAGCACCGGCUAACUACGUGCCAGCAGCCGCGGUAAUACGUAGGGUGCGAGCGUUGUCCGGAAUUACUGGGCGUAAAGAGCUCGUAGGUGGUUUGUCGCGUCGUCUGUGAAAUUCCGGGGCUUAACUCCGGGCGUGCAGGCGAUACGGGCAUAACUUGAGUACUGUAGGGGAGACUGGAAUUCCUGGUGUAGCGGUGAAAUGCGCAGAUAUCAGGAGGAACACCGGUGGCGAAGGCGGGUCUCUGGGCAGUAACUGACGCUGAGGAGCGAAAGCAUGGGGAGCGAACAGGAUUAGAUACCCUGGUAGUCCAUGCCGUAAACGGUGGGCGCUAGGUGUGGGUUUCCUUCCACGGGAUCCGUGCCGUAGCUAACGCAUUAAGCGCCCCGCCUGGGGAGUACGGCCGCAAGGCUAAAACUCAAAGGAAUUGACGGGGGCCCGCACAAGCGGCGGAGCACGUGGAUUAAUUCGAUGCAACGCGAAGAACCUUACCUGGGCUUGACAUAUACAGGAUCGCGCCAGAGAUGGUGUUUCCCUUGUGGCUUGUAUACAGGUGGUGCAUGGUUGUCGUCAGCUCGUGUCGUGAGAUGUUGGGUUAAGUCCCGCAACGAGCGCAACCCUUGUCUUAUGUUGCCAGCACGUUGUGGUGGGGACUCGUAAGAAACCGCCGGGGUUAACUCGGAGGAAGGUGGGGAUGACGUCAAAUCAUCAUGCCCCUUAUGUCCAGGGCUUCACACAUGCUACAAUGGUCGGUACAGUGGGUUGCCAGUCCGUGAGGGCGAGCUAAUCCCGCAAAGCCGGUCUCAGUUCGGAUCGGGGUCUGCAACUCGACCCCGUGAAGUCGGAGUCGCUAGUAAUCGCAGAUCAGCAACGCUGCGGUGAAUACGUUCCCGGGCCU